AUGCACGUGGAGCGUCGGGCCGUGCCUCCUCUGCACCAGAGAGUUCACCCUCGUCCUCGUCCUCUCUACUCCGCUCGAGCUCUAACCCUCACCUCUAUUUCGGUCUCUCUUAGAUUUGGUGCAGUGGCCGCCUCUCUCUCUUGAUUCAAUCCCCUCAAAAAUCUCAUAUUUGGUUUUGUGCCUACAAGAUUUACUUCAGGAGCUGAAGUAAGAAAAAAUGAAGGUUGUUGCGCGGAGCAUGGCAUCGGUGGAGGAGAGGAUCACUGUCGUGCGCCUGGUUGCGGGAACAGGCUGAGGUCCUCAUUCAACCUUAAUUUGAAGCCCUUAGGUAGGCUAGAAGGCGGGUAACCGGCGCCACGAGCAUGAUCCCCUCUUUGCUGGCGGGCUCAGCGACGGUUUCAUCGACGUAUGGAACCCACCGCAGAUACUGAUUUUGGUGUCAGCUCAAGGUAAAAGGUAAAGUCUGAAGGUGUUCUUUUAGGUUAUUGUCAACGGAAGCAGCUGAUAAAUAUGAAUUCAGAGGAAGCAGCUUAUAAAUAGGGACACUGCGGUUACUAUUUCCCUAGGACACAGCUGCGGCUAAGAAAAGGACAUGUUGAAGCAGCACCAUCGAUUAUCGUGCUCCUCUGCAUUGAGAAGAAGUCACUCCCGAGUCGUCUAUGUACCACCUCCAAGGCAUGUCAAGAACUGGUAGCCAAUGAUCUCCAUGGAACUGAGUGACAUUUCUUGG